UACGUAGGGGGCAAGCGUUGUCCGGAUUUAUUGGGCGUAAAGAGCGUGUAGGCGGCUUGGUAGGUCCGCUGUGAAAACUCGAGGCUCAACCUCGAGAUGUCGGCGGAAACCACUUGGCUAGAGUCCGGAAGAGGAGAGUGGAAUUCCUGGUGUAGCGGUGAAAUGCGCAGAUAUCAGGAAGAACACCUAUGGCGAAGGCAGCUCUCUGGGACGGUACUGACGCUGAGGAGCGAAAGCAUGGGGAGCGAACAGG
rnacentral:rRNA from 1 species